GGGCACCCAUGAAUUGACAAAAGCUGUGAAACGACGUGCCCAUCUCAAUCCUUCUACAACACCUAGCUUCAAGGUGAAGGUGAUCAAAACUACAGCAACAUGCGAUGAAGCUCGGCAAAAGUUGCCACAAGCAGAAAAUUCGGACAAUGUCGACACAACAGAUCAAGAAAAAGGACGUGGUAAGCGGCGCAAAUACACACGCAUUUUGAGCUCGUCGGAUGAUUCGCAAGAGGAAGACAAUUUCAAUCUUCCGGAACCACCCAUCUCUCAAAGCACUUCAAGUGCCAGUAAUGAUGGCAGAACAACUUCCAGACAAAGGCUUACUGAAACAGCUUCUGAAA